rnacentral:rRNA from 1 species
AUUGAACGCUGGCGGCAGGCCUAACACAUGCAAGUCGAACGAGUGGCGGACGGGUGAGUAAUGUCUGGGAAACUGCCUGAUGGAGGGGGAUAACUACUGGAAACGGUAGCUAAUAACGCAUACCAUCGGAUGUGCCCAGAUGGGAUUAGCUAGUAGGUGGGGUAAAGGCGCACCUAGGCGACGAUCCCUAGCUGGUCUGCGAGGAUGACCAGCCACACUGGAAUGGAGACACGGUACUGACGCCUACUGGAGGCAGAAGUGGGGAAAAUUGCACAAUGGGCGCAAGCAUGAUGCAGCCAUGCCGCGUGUAUGAAGAAGGCAUUCGGGUUGUAAAGUACUUUCAGCGGGGAGGCGUUACCCGCAGAAGAAGCACCGGCUAACUCCGUGCCAGCAGCCGCGGUAAUAC